rnacentral:rRNA from 1 species
GAAAUGCGAUACGUAAUGUGAAUUGCAGAAUUCAGUGAAUCAUCGAGUCUUUGAACGCACAUUGCGCCCCCUGGUAUUCCGGGGGGCAUGCCUGUCCGAGCGUCAUUGCUGCCCUCAAGCACGGCUUGUGUGUUGGGCUCCGUCCUCCUUCCGGGGGACGGGCCCGAAAGGCAGCGGCGGCACCGCGUCCGGUCCUCGAGCGUAUGGGGCUUCGUCACCCGCUCUGUAGGCCCGGCCGGCGCUUGCCGACACAUCAAUCUUUUUUCCAGGUUGACCUCGGAUCAGGUAGGGAUACCCGCUGAACUUAA